GCGAAACCAUGCCCUGGUACGCGGCUUAUUCCUUCCGUGUUCGCCCAGAAGCGUCCUGAAACUAUAGUUCCACUAGAGAAAGAGCAACCGAGCUGACAGGAUGCACAGGAUUUACAUAUGUUGAACUGCUGACAGACGAGGCACACCGGCUGAUGGUGGUCCAGACAGAAGAGGUUGAAUUUCUCUGAGUGCAGGCUGCAGAGAUUCUCCCGUCCUGCUGCAACACUGUGAACUGUCUCCAGUACGAUGGACUCACACAGGUUCUUUAAUGCCAGGUUACGAGGUGGUCUGCAGCAUGAAUCAAUACUCCUACAAACUGGACACUCAUGUGGUUUCUUUCUCCACCAUUCCUGCUGACAUGCUUUACACAAGCUGUGGCUACAUGACAAGAUUACAGGGUGUUUGAAGAUGUCACGGCAAACUGGACAGGUGAGUUCCUCCACUGAGAAGGACGAUGUGGACAACAUUUGCUCUCCGAGUGAAGCUAAAAACGCCCCAGGCACACAGUUGAAGAGACAGUCGGUCGGUCCCUCCUGUGGAAAGUUCUCAGAAAGUUUUAAUUUGGUCUUAGUUCCAAUGUAAUGUUCCAGUGAUACAAAACCACUAUCUUUUGUUUGUUGUCCUCCAGUUGAAAUUGUAGGAUUUGUCUGGUGUCUCCCCUCUCUGUCUCUUCUCAGCAAGAAAAGACUGACAAACAGUUUUCUCCGCCUUGUCCUGUUUUGACAGGAGCACUGCUGCAGUUUUGUCAUUCUGGGGGGCGUGUUAGGCUCCAAAGCUAUGUGCUGUCUGUCUGUCAAACACUGACAAACACAGGUAACACAGGUCUGUUUGGACUGUGAUGGAUGGUGUAGUUUUGCACGUACACAUCAGAAAGGAAAAGUGUCAUCUGUUCUAAGAUUUUCUUUCAGCCAUCUCAGCUUUAGCAACUCUGAUGAGUCUGACAUUAAGUUAGUUGUCCAGAAAAAUAAAAUACUAGCUGUACCA